GAACAAGUCCUGGAGGAAUGAGAUACAAAAGCGUACCAGAUAACAUAGGAUCGGCCGCGAGAUUUAUAAGACAAGGUUGCUUAUCUUUCUCACGAAAAUCGAGUUCAAUAGCGAUACCACAGCGACUAAUCGCAAGUUGUUCUUCAGUCUUCUUUAGCUGGUGCCUUAAUUUAUCAAUUUCUUGUUGUUUCUGCUUAAUUUCAUCGUUAUUUUGGUUAACCGGUGGGACGGAGUCAAGAAGACGACGUGGAAGAAUACCAAGUUGCUUUUCGUAUCCUUCACGUACACCGCGCAAUCGCAAUACUUCCGCUUUCAAUUCCCUGAGAGAGAGAUCACAAUUAUAUUUAAAAUUAAAAGCUUUAGGUUAGGCUUGUUGCAAACUGGAAAAACUGUAUCGAUAAUAUUUAAUGAUAUUCUUUUGUUUAUCUGUCCCAAAGUGGAAAACUUAUUUUAUACACGAACUUUCGAUUUAUUACAUUCAUAUUGGGAGGAAAUCUGUUAUAUUUUAUUGAAUGUAAUAAUGAAUUAUUAGUUGUUCAUUCAUAAAGAAUAUAUUACCGAAUUAAUUUCUCA